GACAGAGGUGCCGAGCGUUAGGCGGAAUCACUGGGCUUAAAGCGUGUGUAGGCGGACUUGUAAGUACCUUGUGAAAUCCCAUGGCUCAACCAUGGAACUGCUUGGUAUACUGCUUGUCUUGAGCCACUUAGGGGCAGUCGGAACAGACGGUGGAGCGGUGAAAUGCGUAGAUAUCAGGAGGAACACCGGUGGCGAAGGCGGGUCUCUGGGCCGAUACUGACGCUGAGGAGCGAAAGCGUGGGGAGCAAACAGG
rnacentral:rRNA from 1 species